GAUGAACGCUAGCGGCAGGCUUAACACAUGCAAGUCGGAGGGGUAACAGAGGUAGCUUGCUACUUGCUGACGACCGGCGCACGGGUGCGUAACGCGUAUGGAACCUACCUAAUACAGGGAGAUAGCCCAGAGAAAUUUGGAUUAAUACCCCAUAGUACUGUGAAUCCGCAUGGAUUUAUAGUUAAAGAUUUAUCGGUAUUAGAUGGUCAUGCGUUCUAUUAGUUAGUUGGUAAGGUAACGGCUUACCAAGACUGCGAUAGAUAGGGGCCCUGAGAGGGGGAUCCCCCACACUGGUACUGAGACACGGACCAG
rnacentral:rRNA from 1 species